rnacentral:rRNA from 1 species
AUGAAGCAUAUCCAGCAAUAUUUGAUUUGCCCUCAGAACCUUACAAUCCUCUGGGGUAAGACUUUUGGUCUUGAAGAUUUUUGGAAUGAGUACUCAGUGGCACUUGAAAGCUCUAAGCUCGACACACUUGAAGAGGCAGCCAAUGAGAAAGAGGUGACCGUCUGCAAUCAUGAAAUACAGAUUCAUGAAGAUCUGGGCCAUGUAUGCCGUGUCUGCGGUAUGAUUGUGAGAGAAGGGCUGACACAAUCAUUGAUUAUCAGUGGAGAAAGGCAUCAAGGUCGAGAUCAUAUUUCUCUGAAAAGCGUUCAAAGGAUUCUGAUGAGAUUGUCACUGCUGAUGUUAGAGUCGCUGAAGAACUCAAUGCGUUAG